AGCUACACAAGAGAGUUCGAAGCGGGAAAUCUGUGUUUACCACAUGUUUACCUAGCAUGUUUAUAUGCCUGUAAUUUAGUAUCAUUCAUUUGUGAAUCAUGGAUCAAUUAAAAGAGCUAAAGAUUGACUUCACCAAGGAAUUUAAUAAACUGAAGAAUUCCUACUCUUGUGUAAAAUGUCAAACUCAAGAUAUUCAAAUACCCAUAUUGUUGAAGACAUGUCGUCAUAUAUUCUGCACUAAAUGUCUUGUUAUACAAGGCAAACAGCAUUGCCCAAACUGCAAUACACUUUAUACAGCAAUGAACAUUGAUCGUGGAAACACAUUUGUAUCAUCUAUAAUGAAAGAAAUUGGCAACCUUGACAAAACAUAUCCCGUAAAUAAAGAUAAGAGUGAUACCAGCAGAUAUAUGCUGGAACUUGAUUCAAAUAAUGCAAAUGCACUUGCUUAUGAACAGAUUUCUCAGGUUCUACAACUUAUGAAUCAAGUUGGUAAUUGCAGUGAAGAAACAAACAUUAUUGAUGUUGAAGAAAAUCAAGUAAAGUCAGUAUCUAAAAAAAGCAAAAAGAGAUCAUUAAAACAAAUGGAUUCAGCAAAAAAAUUAAAAAGUAUGAGUACAGAUUCAACUCAUUCAAAUGACCCAUUAAGUAAUUCUGAAAAUAUGCUUUCAUUGCAAAUAAGUGACAAUAAUCUUGCACCAUUGCCACAGGUUGAUUCAGAAUUCCAGAAUGUACAAUUAUGCAAAGAUAAGCUUAAAAGGAAUGCAAAGGGUGAAACACAAUUGCAUUUAGCAUGUAAAAAAGCAAAUGCAGAGUUGGUUCACCAGCUAAUUGACAGUGGGAUGGAUGUAAAUUGUGUUGAUUGGGGUAAUUGGACACCACUUCAUGAAGCAAUACAAAGCAAAGAUGAAUGUUGCACUCAACUUUUAUUGAGGGCUGGUUGCUUAGUAAAUAUUCCUGCAACAAAUUACAUCACUCCUUUACAUCUGGCAACUGAGCUAAAGCUUCAAUCUUUAAUUAAUAGUUUGAUUAAUUACGGGGCUGAUCCUGAUGCGCCUGAUCUUGCUGGACGAACCCCUAGCGACACAUAUGCAAGUUCGAAGAGUGCAAAAAGGUCCUUAAAAGGAGGUAAUACUCUUGUUUUUAACUGCGAUUCAUCCAAAUGUGGACCCAAGGCAACGGGGCGUGCUGAAAUGCAACUUCUUGAAAAGCUGACUGUUACAAAUCAAAUGGAACAUCUUACCAUUAAUGUGAAACAUGCACAAAAUUUGUUUUGCCCAAAAGUUCUGAUGGCAUUGUUGAAAGCUGUGCCAAUAAUUAAAUCAACAGAUUUAUCAAGAUUUAUCAAAUGCACUGAUAUGGCUUGGCUACAUUUAAUUCCUGACGCUCUGCAUGCAGGGUUCAAACGAUCUUUGAAAAACCGACUCCAUCGACUUCCCAGAUUGUUGGACGGGAUGAACUUUUAUAUAGUAACUCAAAUAACAACCAUUCACGUAAAGGGUGUUGCAUUUAGCAAAGAACAAAUUCAAGGACUGAUUGAGAUUGCAGGUGGAAAGAUUUUAAAACGUGCACCUAGCGAAUCAACUGUCGCAUUUGCACGUAUAAAAUCAAUUCCUUUCCAUGCCAAAUCAUCUGAUAUUUUGAGGAAUUGUGCUCAUUACAUAGUUUAUGAUGAAAAGUCCGCACCUUGCUUGUUAUAUAAAAUGACAGAUUUACGUCAUGUGAGUGCUAGUCAGUUAUUAGAAUCCAUGUGGAAUUUUGAAAUUGCAUGGAACUAAAGUAGAGUUUGAAAGAAAAUGGAGAUUUGAUUUGAGUUCUGAUUUAGACAAACGUUAAAAAGUUGAAUUUAAUAGAUUGUGUUUGUCUAGCUUUGACUUUUUUAUGCCGUUGUCUUCACUGCGGAAGGGGUUAUCAUAAUAAUAUGGCCUUGUUGGCCUGCUUCCUUUAUUAAAUGAUGGUGAUUGUUAUUAAGUUCAUCUAUGUCUACGUUUACGGCUUAAAAACGCACUUUACGAGUGUUGGUUUUGGCGAGUUAAAGGACCGUGAACCACAAAACAAAAAGUACUAGCGCGGGUAACAAGUGCGGGUCUUACUUUAAAGCUGAGAAAGUGUCUAAUUUUUGAGGUAUAGCGUGAGUGAGAAUGGUAUACAGUGAGGUUUUUCAAAAACUGAUGCGAUCGAAGUAUUCCCACAUCCGAUAAAUGAACAUUAGAUGACACAAAUUGAUGCGAAAAUGCAGGGAGCUUGCGUGGGAUAAAUAGGAGAAGAAUACUUUUAAUGACGCGAAAACUGGUACAAGGGACGGUACACCACGAGAUGUUUCCUCUGGAACAUCCACGACACUCAGCCACCAUUGAAUUUAAUUAAAUACCCGCUGCUGGAUCGACGAGUAUACAGAUCGCCCGCGUAGUCGCUGGCCGAGAACGCUAGUACGCCUAGUUCUUCGCCUCCCCAAUAUACUGUGACCAGGUUGGCUAUAUCCUUUGGGUUUACAGAAAAACGUUUGUUCCACUGCCGGGUAACCUACUUUAAACAAUACAAAGAUUUAUGUAGGCGCCUAUAUCGCCUGUAUUUUUUCUAAAGUUCUGCUGGAAACUUGUGGUCAGAGUAGGAAUCGAGUUAACAUUUUAAUUACUCGGAGGCUGUUGGGCAUUUAGCGGAAAGAAUGG